rnacentral:rRNA from 1 species
GAGAACGCUGGCGGCACGCCUAACACAUGCAAGUCGAACGGAGAAGAACAGCUUGCUGUUCUUUUAGUGGCGGACGGGUGAGUAACACGUGAGCAACCUGCCUUUAAGAGAGGAAUAACGCUCGGAAACGAACGCUAAUACCUCAUAACAUAUUUUUAUCGCAUGGUAGAAAUAUCAAAGAUUUAUCGCUUAGAGAUGGGCUCGCGUCUGAUUAGCUAGUUGGUGAGGUAACGGCUCACCAAGGCGACGAUCUGUAGCUGGUCUGAGAGGACGACCAGCCACACUGGAACUGAGACACGGUCCAGACUCCUACGGGAGGCAGCAGUGGGGAAUUUUGGACAAUGGGCGCAAGCCUGAUCCAGCAAUGCCGCGUGCAGGAUGAAGGCCUUCGGGUUGUAAACUGCUUUUGUACGGAGCGAAACGGUCUGCCCUAAUACGGUGGGCUAAUGACGGUACCGUAAGAAUAAGCACCGGCUAACUACGUG